AAGAAAGAUAUCCUGAAUGUUAAUAAAGACAAGAUUGUACACAGAAAUGGCUCUGAAAUGAAUGAUCCAAGGUCACCGUAACAGGUUGGGGAAGAAUCAAUAGAAACAGCAACUCUUGGUCACCCAACCAAGUUCUUCCCACUUCAUCUUCCCAUUCCUGACCUUCAGAACUGCGUUCCCCAACACUCCUUGACUGUCUUAUCUCAGGCCAUGCCAAACUAUGUUCUGUAAAGGGCCUGACAAUAGACACUUGUGCUUUGCAGGCCAGACUGUUCCUCUGAAACUGCUCAAGUCUGAUACUGAAUAUGAACCUUAGACAACACGUCAAUACAUAGGGGGUGCCUUGUUCUCAUAAAACUUUAUUGACAAAAAUGGGGUGGGCUAGAUUUGGCUAAGAUAUUAAUUGCCAACUCUUGCUCUAACUAAAACGUUAUGAAUUUGAUUUUCCUGACAAGAAUACAAGAAUCUACAAAAGAUGUCCUUUCUCAAAUGUGGGAAUAUUACAUUAAAAAUACAGGUCAAAUAA